rnacentral:misc_RNA from 1 species
UGCAGUCGGCUCCUCUCAAAUCAAUCAGCUUGCCAGUGUUUGGUGGCAUCACAGGUGUGAUAACUAUCUACGCUUGUGGUUUUCUACCAAGUAGCCUUCAGUGAUGGAGGUUCGCUGGAGCUCAUAAAUGUCUCUCCUCAGCGAAGACAAUUUCGUGAACGUUUGAUCUCAAAUCAGGUAGGACUACCCGCUGAACUUAA